rnacentral:rRNA from 1 species
GAUCAUGGCUCAGGAUGAACGCUGGCGGCGUGCCUAACACAUGCAAGUCGAGCGAAGCAUUUUAAAGGAAGUUUUCGGAUGGAAUUUGAAAUGACUGAGCGGCGGACGGGUGAGGUAACGCGUGGGUAACCUGCCUCAUACAGGGGGAUAACAGUUAGAAAUGACUGCUAAUACCGCAUAAGCACACAGUACCGCAUGGUACAGAGUGAAAAACUCCGGUGGUAUGAGAUGGACCCGCGU